UCUGGUGCGGCCAACCGACAUGGGGCUGUCUCUUCACUCUCCCUCCCGUCAUUUGAUUUGUCGGGGCUGGGAUGCUCGUGAUCGGUUGCCUGUGCGGCUCUACCCUGCUGUGGGUAGCGAAGUUGUCCCUCGAUUGAUAUUUGCUUGCUUCUCUGACAUUUUUUUGUCGUUUUGGCAGCCGAAAUGAUGGCGAAAUCCUUGUGCAGGUGCGUGGUCGAAUGUCCCCGUAGCUGUAACUUGGAAUUUUGCUGGCUCUCACGGACGCAGUGCCCAGUGCUGGCUCUGCGUGGCUUUGCCCCGCAGACUUCGGGAGGUCCCUUGUACGAAUCACUGGGAUCAGAUGCCGUUUGUCGUGUUGCUUGUUUGGCACGCAAAUCGUAUUGUUCUGUCCGGAGUCGGGAUGACGAAAGUCAGAACGAAGUGUCUGGGGCGUGCUCGCGUACACGGGGAAUGCCUCUCCGAUCGUACGAGCAGCGAUUUCCGGCUCGCGUCCUGCGAAGGCCCGCCCGUCCGGGCCGGUGCCGGAGCUG
rnacentral:misc_RNA from 1 species